GUACAUAUAUGUAUAUGAUAUACAUGUGUCAUGUAUGGAUGUAUCUAAAGCUUAACCAAGUAUGACUAAGAAUUGCUAUGCCAGGGCCCUGUACGAAACUCCAUUAACAUUCAGCAACUACAAACAUAUGGUUUUUCAAGAAGAUUUGGACAAGGUGAUAACAGCAUUCAACUUGGCAAGGCAUUCAGUAGGUAAACUAAGGAAAGUAUUCAUGAAGACAUCAUCAAUAGGUUCAACAAAUGCUACCCCAACCAAUUUGCAAUUCCCCUCUUCAUCUAAUCUCUCACCUCUUCCACUUCUCAUCUUCCCUUUCGAUUCAUCUGACGUUAAAACCGUCUUCACCACCAACGGCGGCGCUUCGUAAAUACUCCCGACCGA
rnacentral:lncRNA from 1 species